GCGGGCUGGAUCCUUUGGGGUUACAGCCUUGCUGAAUUAUUCACCCGUGUCUUUUGCGUACUUCUUGUUUCCUUGGUGGGUUCGCCCACCAUAGGACAAACCAUUAAACCUUUUGUAAUUGCAAUCAGCGUCAGUAAAAAAAUUAAUAAUUACAACUUUUAACAACGGAUCUCUUGGUUCUGGCAUCGAUGAAGAACGCAGCGAAAUGCGAUAAGUAGUGUGAAUUGCAGAAUUCAGUGAAUCAUCGAAUCUUUGAACGCACAUUGCGCCCUUUGGUAUUCCAAAGGGCAUGCCUGUUCGAGCGUCAUUUGUACCCUCAAGCUUUGCUUGGUGUUGGGCGUCUUGUCUCCAGUUCGCUGGAGACUCGCCUUAAAGUAAUUGGCAGCCGGCCUACUGGUUUCGGAGCGCAGCACAAGUCGCGCUCUCUUCCAGCGAAGGUCAGCAUCCACAAAGCCUUUUUUCAACUUUUGACCUCGGAUCAGGUAGGGAUACCCGCUGAACUUAAGCAUAUCAAUAAGCGAGGAAAAAAAGAAACCUGUAA
rnacentral:rRNA from 1 species